rnacentral:rRNA from 1 species
UCAGACGAUGCGUCAUGCAUAUCAAUAAGCGGAGGAAAAGAAACUAACAAGGAUUCCCUUAGUAACGGCGAGUGAAGCGGGAAGAGCUCAAAUUUGAAAUCUUCAAGGUUCUACCUUGACGAAUUGUAGUUUAAAGAAGUGUUUUCUGUUAGUGGAAGUUUGGUAAAAGUUCUUUGGAAUAGGACAUCAUAGAGGGGUGAGAAUCCCGUAUUUGGACUCAUUAUUUCUAGCUUUGUGAUACACUUUCAAAGAGUCGGAUUGUUUGGGAAUGCAGUCCAAAAUGGGUGGUAAAUUUCAUCUAAAGCUAAAUAUUGGCGAGAGACCGAUAGCGAACAAGUACCGUGAGGGAAAGAUGAAAAGAACUUUGAAAAGAGAGUUAAACAGUACGUGAAAUUGUCAAAAGGGAAGCGUUUGACACCAGUGUUGUUUUCUCGAAAAUCAAUUAAAAAAGAGUUGGAUUUUGUGUUGUAUUGACCUUAACAGCUUGCUUCACUCUUUUCCUGCUUUUUUUAAUGCACUUUUCGUUUAACAAGUCAACAUCAGUUUCUUUUGUUGUAAAAGGGUCAUUGGAAGGUGGCUUUCUCUUCGGAGAAAGUGUUUAUAGCCUUUGAUCUCUGCAAUCGGAGAGACUGAGGUCUGCAGCGUAGAUCCUUCGGGGUUAGAUACAUUUGUGCUAAGCUACAGCUUUUCAUAGACAACUUGUUGACUAUGUUUAGUCUUGUAACUUACCCGCUUAUGCUAUUUUACCUACGCUUAGGAUGUUGAUAUGCAUGACUGAUAU